GACGCAGAUGCGGUUUGACUUGAAUUUAGCCAUCAGGUGGAAGACAUGUCCCCUCUCUCUGGUCAGUCUCCUACCGGAUGAAAGAAAGAAGAGAAUAGGGACCGUGAGAGAUGAACCCUCUGCUGCUCUCUCCCUCCCUCCGCUGAGACUAAUGCCGCGUUCAAAACUGGGAACUCGGAAAUCUCAGACUUCCAACUUCAGUGCGUUUAAAACAACUGGAAACUCAGGGAAAAACGAGAAUUCCAAGUAGAAAACUUGGGACUUUAAAACUGAAAGAUCACUGUCAUGAUUUGACCUCGUUUUUCCAGAUUUCCCAGUUGUCUUGAAAGCACCAUGUAAAAUAAAAAAUAUUAAAAUGAUUUGCUAAUUAUUUCAAUUCAUACUCAGCUGUGCCUUGAAAGUGCUACACCAACAAAAAUAAUUCUGAGCGGUAGAUUUUGGCUUGCUAUUUGACUGCGAGGAAAAGGUUGGUGACCACUGCAUUAUGGAGUCUUAAAGGCCUGGGUAGGUGACCACUGCAUUAUGGAGUCUUAAAGAAGGCCUGGGUAGGUGACCACUGCAUUAUGGAGUCUUAAAGGCCUGGGUAGGUGACCACUGCAUUAUGGAGUCUUAAAGGUAAGGCCUGGGUUGGUGACUGCUGCAUCAUUGAGUCUUAAAGGUAAGGCCAAAAUUAAUUAUUUCUCAACUAUGCUUUUAAAUACAAAUGUCAAAUACAUGUAAACAAUCUUUCCUCUUUCCACGAUGGAUUACAUUUAGUGAAAAUUCCCCAAAUCAUAGUCUUUUUUUUGUCCUGGUGUAGUAUGGAAUCAAUCUCUAUUGGCACCUGUAUCUUUGUCAACCCUUUGAAGCUAGCGCUCAGAACACAGGCCUACAGGGAAACAUACUGGGAAGGAAGGAGGAAGAAAAUACUCCCUGUGUGUUGGCACAUAAAAAUCUAUCAUUUUCAGCCCUGAGUGUUUGGCUGACUAAUUUUCUCCACAUAAUCAAGGAUAAUAGAAAGACUGGAGGGAAGAACUCCUGAACAUGCUCUGUGUGCUUGUAGGGGAUGUGGCAAUAUCCAUGUGGAAUUUAGAAUCAAUCCCUAUUGCUUUGCAAAUGAGAGAAUGCGCUGAAAACUUGCCCGGCAUUCUCAGGGACACAACAUACAAUCAUUCUGUUGUGCUUUCACACGAGUGCACUCGUCGAUACAAAAAAAAUACCUGGCUUCAUUUUCGGUCAGACAGUUACACAUUAUCUCAUUUAUACAGCUACUGGGGGCAAGGCAAGGGAAAUACAAGGGAGAUAAUUUUCAUGACGCACUCUGCUAGUCUUUUUAUCGAAUCCUGUCAGAGGCUCAGGCCAUUUUUUUGUGUCUAACACACCAAUGAAAUUACCUGCCAGUCAGGCAGGGGUGAGAAGUCCCAUUGGACUGUGUAAUUCACUGGGCUGCGAGGGAGGAAGACACAGAGGCAGACUUUCCUGGGGCCAUGCUCAGGGCUCACCUCCAUCUCCUCCAUGGAUAGCAGCAUGCUCUCCAGGGUGGGGGCCUGGAGCUGUGCCAAACCCUCCAUCUGUCUGUCUCCGCCACCCAGAUGGCCAGCACUGCAUCAGCCAGCAGCUCCUCUAGCAGGGCGUCACUCAGCACCUCAGCGCACUCUGCAGCCUGGAGAGGGAGCACAUAGAUGAUGCGUGCAGAACGGGCUGCCUGUUCCUGUCUGCGGACCACCACCCUGCGCUGCUCAUCAGGCUCCAAGGGCUCUGCAACCAUUCACCCUGGAAUGCACAGUAUGCCAACAAGGUGCCACUCCAGCUGUGUUACCCAUAGAAAUAUAAUCACUACAACAGGCCUAGAACCUCUGACCAUGGUGAUUUGACUGGUAAACUCAUGGAUCUCUCUUGGCCAGCCUGAUUGCAGACAGCAGACGCACCUCAGACAGAGCAGAGAAACACAGAGAGCUGCAGGUGCUAUCCAGGUCAUCCCAAUCCUCUACCCAGGGCAUCAGCUUCUCAAUCACAAUGGGUUCAGGUGGG